rnacentral:rRNA from 1 species
GGAUCCAGACUUUGUUCUGGCUCAGGAUGAACGCUAGCUACAGGCUUAACACAUGCAAGUCGAGGGGCAGCGGGGUUGAAGCUUGCUUCAAUUGCCGGCGACCGGCGCACGGGUGAGUAACGCGUAUCCAACCUUCCGUACACUCAGGGAUAGCCUUUCGAAAGAAAGAUUAAUACCUGAUGGUAUGAUGAGAUUGCAUGAUAGCAUCAUUAAAGAUUUAUCGGUGUACGAUGGGGAUGCGUUCCAUUAGGUAGUAGGCGGGGUAACGGCCCACCUAGCCAACGAUGGAUAGGGGUUCUGAGAGGAAGGUCCCCCACAUCGGAACUGAGACACGGUCCAAACUCCUACGGGAGGCAGCAGUGAGGAAUAUUGGUCAAUGGACGAGAGUCUGAACCAGCCAAGUAGCGUGAAGGAUGAAGGUCCUACGGAUUGUAAACUUCUUUUAUAAGGGAAUAAACCCUCCCACGUGUGGGAGCUUGUAUGUACCUUAUGAAUAAGCAUCGGCUAACUCCGUGCCAGCAGCCGCGGUAAUACGGAGGAUGCGAGCGUUAUCCGGAU